rnacentral:rRNA from 1 species
GAUGAACGCUGGCGGCGUGCCUAAUACAUGCAAGUCGAGCGAACAGACGAGGAGCUUGCUCCUCUGACGUUAGCGGCGGACGGGUGAGUAACACGUGGAUAACCUACCUAUAAGACUGGGAUAACUUCGGGAAACCGGAGCUAAUACCGGAUAAUAUAUUGAACCGCAUGGUUCAAUAGUGAAAGACGGUUUUGCUGUCACUUAUAGAUGGAUCCGCGCCGCAUUAGCUAGUUGGUAAGGUAACGGCUUACCAAGGCAACGAUGCGUAGCCGACCUGAGAGGGUGAUCGGCCACACUUGAACUGAGACACCGUCCAGAAUCCUACGGGAGGCAACAGGAGGGAAUCUUCCGCAAUGGGCGAAAGCCUGACGGAGCAACGGCGCGUGAGUGAUGAAGGGCUUCGGAUCGUAAAACUCUGUUAUUAGGGAAGAACAAAUGUGUAAGUAACUAUGCACGUCUUGACGGUACCUAAUCAGAAAGCCACGGCUAACUACGU